CAAAUAAUGUUCGUUGGCACAGAGCUCUGGUUAGAAGUAUACACACAUGCACUUUAAAUAAAAAAAUUAUCGGCGUUAGAGGUAUACACAUUUUUUAUAGUGAAAGAAAUAAAUUUAUAAAUAUUUUAACCAAUAAAACAUUAAAAUAAACUUGAAAACAAAAUGAUUAAACAAGAAAUUCAAAGUAAUUCCAAUCCUGCAAAAGAAAAUGGCCAGCUUCACAGCCAAACCAAACCACCUGCAGAUGACCAUUUGCGUAAAAUGUUUUUGGGCGGUUUAUCGCCCAAUUCAACAGAAGAAUCUGUGCGCGCUUUUUAUAGUCAAUUUGGUGAGGUCAUUGAUGUGAUCAUUAUGCGUGAUCCGACAACAAAACGUUCACGAGGAUUUGGUUUCAUUACAUUCAAGGAUUCCACCAUGGUUGACAGAGCACAAGAAUCCCGACCUCAUGUUGUUGAUGGAAAAACCGUCGACUCAAAACGUGCCUUGCCACGACCAGAAGUUGGUUCCACAGAAGCUAAUUCUUCCGUUAAAAAGGUAUUUGUUGGCGGCCUUAAAGAGUAUCACGAUGAACAAUGUCUGAAAGAACAUUUUCAACAAUUUGGCAAUAUAUUGGGCGUUAAAAUAUUAACAGAUAAGAAUACCGGACGUAAGCGUGGUUUUGCAUUUGUUGAAUUUGAUGAUUAUGAUUCAGUCGACAAAGCAGUAUUAUACAAAAAUCACACAAUCAAAUAUGUUCUCGUAGAUGUCAAAAAAUCAAAUUAUAAACAGGAACAAGCUAAAAAAUUAGCUGCUCAACAACAAGGUGCACCAAUUGGCAUGAUAUCGGCAGUACAAGCGGCGCCAGGUGGUUAUCAACAACCGGCAACGGCUUACAAUCAACAAGCAGCCUACGGUUAUGCCCCAGCUCCCAACUACAAUGGUUGGGGAACAGGUUAUGCUCAAGCACCACAAGCAGCUUACCAACAGCCAGCCGCCUAUGGAGCCUAUGCUGCUCCACCACAAACUGCUGCUCAACCCCAAUGGAAUGCCACAGCGUAUGCUGCACCACAAGCAAGUUGGGGACAAAAUGGUUACGCUGCACCUGCUGCAGUUCCUGUAGCUCCUGCAGCCGUACCUGCGGCUAAUGGUUGGAAUACAGCGGCAGCUUCUCCCACAAAUACGGCGCAAAACUUUGGCAGUUAUCAACAGACUUACAAUGGUGGUCCCCAGAAGGCUGGUAGUUUGCAGGGUAAUCGUAUGAAUCCAUAUAGUGUUGCAGCAGCACCCACGUAUGGCUCGCAUGUGGUUUCGCCUAUAAAUAAUUCCAUGACUAAUUUAGCAAAAAAGCCACGUUUACAAUAUUAAUUUCUUAACUCUAUGUAUGAAGAAAUCCAAUUUACGUUCUAGACUUUUUAAAAAAGUCUAUAAACUUAAAAAUAACAUUCAUUCAUCCAUACAUUCCCCCAUGCAUGAACUUGUUUGCAAAAGAUUUAAAAUGUAAAAUUAAAAAAAAAAACACCUUAUAAUACACACAGCAACAAUCCAAAUACAAACAUGACAAAUUUCUCGUUAACGUACAUAAUGCGUGGCAGUUGCCGCUGCUUGCUUGAUAAAGAGGUUUCACAAAAUAUUGUUGUUCUGUUAACACAAACAAAAAAAAAAACAAAAGCAUAUUUUGCCCAUGAACAAAAUGGUGCGCUGUAUGUUAAAGAACUGCUUUAAAAGGGCUGUGGGCUUUUCGUAUAUGUGUGAUGGGUAAGUUUUGAAUAAUUAUUGUUUUUGCAGUACUUUCUAGUCUGUUGUUUAGAAAUUACUUUUUAAUUUACACUACUACUACC